UGAGCAGGUCCCUGCACCAAUUCUUCCAUUACAUUUGAACAUGACAUUAAAUUCCCAUGGGUCCACCACAAUAGCCUGUCCAGUCACUGUGUUGCAGUCCAGCCCUAAAAUAUCAACUCACAGUCUGACCCUAUCCCCAGCCACCCCCAACUGUGGCCCAGGCCCGGCACCUUCUCAAGUUACAAACCUACCUCCGGUUCCAUUGCUGCUAUCAUGUUCAAACACCCAGGCACAAGCUUUUGUUCCCAGACAGAGGGAGACAAACACCAUUUCAAAGGACAGCUCUCAGAGCCAGAUGCCAUCUUCAAUUACCAGAUCUUCCAUUAAUGGCAACUUUGUUCCAAACCAAAGUCCCCCUGAAAUAACUGCCUCAAAGAUAUCACUUGUUGAAGCAGUGAAUGAGUCAAAAUCUGACACACCACAAAGCAGGAUUUAUACAUCAAAAGCAACAUUUUAUGAGAUUUCUAAACCUCCCUCCAUGGAGGACCUUACACAUUUAAACCCAACCAACCAUGGAGCACCGUUUUCUACCCUAUACAGAGACAAAGUGACUGUGUCAGUAAUGAAAACUGAUCAGAAACUGCCUGUAUCAAAAACCCACAGUGGAAGACCUAAGACCCCCUCUUGGAGACCAUCUGUGUCCACACCUAUUUUUGAAAUAUCAAAACCGAACCCACUUUUAUUCACUGCAAGUCCUGCUUUCAACUGCUCCCAAGAUUUACAGGUCCCUGCUACACAAUAUGGAACGUCACAGCUUAAUUUAGCCUUUCAAACUAGUAGUAUAAGUAAACCUCCUGUUGCCACAGAGGAACUGAAGGGAAACGAUGAUUUUCAAAUAACAUCAAACAUCAAACAAUCCAACAAUUCCAAAGAGAUAAAGAUUCAACAAAACGGAAGGAGCACAAUAAAUGUAAUUGUUGGCAAUACUGAACUGCACCACCAAGUGAAUUUAGCAUCGAGUAUCACUGCACCUGAAUCAGAUGGGCUCAAACCAACACUGAUGGAACCUGUCAAUAGCAAGCUAAAAACAGUCGCAGAAAGUGAGGCUUCAUCUUUACCAAAAGUUCCAUCAUUUCUGACACUAUCAAACAAUCUCACACCUAUGGCAAUGAUUUCAAUGCAAACAGCAACUAGUCCAAGCCCCAUUUCCUCUGCUAAUUCUCCUCCUGUGUUUGGGGCACGCAAAUCCUUAACGUCGCUAUUGGAAACUCAAAUGACCUUAGCCACCUCAAAGCCAAAAUCACGAUCAACAUACUAUGGCCUUACUCCAACUGAGUAUGUGGCCUAUGGUGGGUUUAGGAAUAUAGCAUCAUAUCACAGCCCAGCAGUCAGCAGGGUUAGUGAAACCUCAUUAAACAAAGUACAGACAGAAGUACCUGUACAUGGUUCAAACUUCCCUGAGUGUGAUGUGAGGAAACCACUCACUGGAUAUCAGGAUCUUCCCUCUUCAUUGGAUGUUUCUUCUGCACACAGUUUGCAAUCUCUGUCGUCUCCAAAGGCUUCACAGCAUCCAGCUGACAUGAUCGUCACAUGCAGCAAAGAUGUGUUUGAGGAAAGUCUCCCAGAAGUUCACAGCAUUGGAAAUCAAACACUGAAAACAUCUAACAUGGAUGCAAUAAAACCUGAGAUUCCUCUUGGCUCGGCACAGAAAAUAAUUCAACAAUCCACAAAUGAAGUAUCCACACCAAAAGCCUCAUACCCCAAGUCUCCAAUACCAUUACCUAAAGCAGGUGAGGUACACGCACAAAGUGAAGCACAAUAUACAACACUAUGCCUGAAUGAUAGCAGAAGUCUGUUGAGUUCUUCAUCACCUUUACUGAAAGUAGACUUACAUGCUGAUAUACAGCGUAGUGCAAAAGAGAACGACGCCAAGGAGAAUCUUGAGAAAACACUCACAAAAACAAAAGAAAACACAAUUACAAAUGCAAAACCCCAGUCAGGACUAAUAGAGUCUCCACUGGUCAGAUCUUAUCAAACUGCUAAUGGCAUUAGUCCAGCAACAACCUGUGGAUAUAUUGUUCAACUCAAUGCCAACCCUGACCAUAAAAACUUGGGUAUUCAAGAGAUUGAAUUUUCAGGGGGUGCCAUAAAUAAAACGCCCAUCGUAGGAAUACAACAAGCCACAAAACUUGUUUCAGCAACACCAUUGCCCAGUAAAGUGGCAAUGGAUACUGUCUUACUUACACAAAAGGAAGAGGUUACCGAGCAAGACAAAAUGGGCAACAAGGAGAUUCUACCCAGGAAAAACAAAGGGAGCAGUUUGUCUUACAUGGCAAAUUAUACUGACUAUAUGCUUGACAAAACAACAACUGGGACCCAGCAGUUUAAAGAACCAGUAGCUACUAACACAGAAUCCUGGUUGUCACACAGGCAUGCUACAGCCUCUGUAUUCUCUGCACAGUCCAGUAUCUGCACAGUAUCUGCAGAUGAGAAAAGCACCAAACAUCUCACUGAAGAAACUCAAACUUACAGUCUUAGUCAAACAGUAGAAAAUGACAGCAGUUUUUCUCGAGCAGGGCUCUCUUUGAAAUCUUCUCAAGGAUCAACCGAACUAAACCAAUCUGCAGUAAAUGGUCCAGUAUUAGGUAAACCAGUCACUGUGACCAAUAGUAUUUCAGACAUUCAGACUCCCUUUGAGACAGGCUUAUCAGAUGUGCCAGCAAAGCAGUUCCAAAGGACAAACAAAGUUAGAGAGAAUUUAAUUGUGAAGACACAGAAUAGUAUGGGAUCAAGUGACCAAGAUAAAGUUGUUCAAGGAGCAUGUUUGUACACAAACAAUUCCAAAACUAUAGAAGAAAUGUCACAAAACAUUGAAACCGCUCUUAAUAUCUCUGCUAAAGAUGCUAACCUGUCUAGUCAAACAAAUAAAGAUGCCAAACUCCCACUGACUUAUAUUAAUAGUAAUUCUAACAAAUUUAGCAGCUCAUCAGCAGAAUCAGCCAAUGAAAAGUUCAGUUCAAAUCAAGCUUCUAAUCUUCUUAAAGGAAAUGUAACACUGACCACAGCUAGUAGUGAAACAAAACCAUCCGACAAACUUUACUCAGUAUCACCAACCAUCCACAAAUAUUCUACAGAAAUAGUCUCAUCUGGACAACCAGGAGGUGUAAAUGCAGUCCAUAACGGACCUGCUGCAGAAACUACUCUGUCCAUGAAACCUAAUUUUGGCACCAAUGCUAAUAAAUUUCCUGCUUAUAAAACCAAUAAACCUCAAAAUGGAACUGUUCUGCCAAUUAUAACAAAUCAAUCAAUGACCUGUAAACCAAUAGUUAAUACUGGUCAGGUCAGUAAACCAACAGUAUGUGUGCAGUAUUGUCCUACCAUGCUACAUGUCACUCCAAAAAGCCCUCUGCUAAUAUCAGAGAGAAGAUCCACAACAAAACAACCUAUUGAUGAAAAAUGUGUUCCUGGCUAUGUUGAGCAAACCGGAGCCUUUAUGAGCUCAAAAGCAGAUGGCAAGCAUGUUGUCACCAUACUUGCUGAGCAAAGAUCAGCAGAGCCAUCUUCCCCUCAAAUUACAAAUAACAUGGCUUUGAAAAGAAAAUCCCCUGUCCCCCAGCCAAUUAAACACCCUGUUACAUCCAGCACCAAGUCAACAACUUCCAAUUCUACUGGUCAUAUUACAGCUAACAUAUCUAAUGUCAGCGUAGAACCGCAAACCAUUACAAAUCCAGGUCAUAUGCUAUAUGAAGAUAAUGUUCAAACUUCUGCAAAUGUAGUGAACGCUGAGACUGGAAUGAAACAGCUAUGGCAAUCUGUCGCAGAAACAAAUAAUUAUGUAGAAAUGAACUGCCAUAUUAUAAAUAAUCACGCUCCGUCACACUCUGCUUUAUGUAACUAUAAUACUACAAAUAAAGCCCAAAAUAGUUCUCCUAAAGAAACAAAAUAUUUGACUGCAACAAGAGCUUCCCCUCUACCUAAGCCAAGAGUGCGUACUAAACCUAUACGGACCUAUACUCCAACUAUAUUACAGGGCUGUCAAACUCCAGUCUCUUUGAGUACUACUACAGAAACAAAAGUCAUAUCAGUCAUUAUGAAAGACCAGAAAACCGCUCCAGUUACACCUCUUCAAAAUAAUACAUCUACAAGUACUGUUGAGUCCUCUGCAAAGUCAGUCACAGAGAAUAUCUCAAAAGUAGAAAUAAAACAACCCAUAGACACUUUAGUCCCUGAGGUAAAAGAACAUUCCCAAACACAAGACUUAAAGACAAUCCUAGCAUUAGUUUCUAGUAAAGAAGAACUCCCUUCAUUGAAAUUUGAAGCUAAUGCUCCCUCCCACUCUGCUGAUGUUUUACCUAGUAAACCUACUCCAAAAGCAGAACUUUCCGCUAGGCAGGUAGAAUCAAGACCUUCAUCUAACAUUGUAGAAACAAAACCAUCAGUUGUAAACAUAGAUUCUUCAAAGUCUACCUCCAAUACAGCCCUGAUUAGCUCACAGACUAGUAAUGUUCAGGCCUCAACAGGGCUACUCAUACAGAACAUUGCCCCUGCAAAGCCAGCAACAGAUACUGUCAUGAAACCAUCCAUAGUUAAAGCUGCUGUGAUUGACUCUGCCAAUCCUGCCUCUCUGCCUCAGGCCUCAGUCUCAGUCAAAGCUCCACCCCAAAACAGAGGAACAUCACCGUCAUCUCAGCAAAAAGCUGGACACAAAGACAAGGACAUUCUGAAGACCAAAGCCACGACUGCACAGAUGAAAGCCCCAGCAGCCGAACCCUGCACGAAGUCAGCGACAUCACCUGUAUCUUCAACUGCUGACAAGAAGGUCGUUGCGGCAGAGAUCUCCUCUUCAUCCACUGAGCCAAAGGCUGCCCAGAAGCCAAAAGGCCUGAAGGGUAAGCUGAGUGGAUGGACACGGCUCAAAAAACACAUGGUUGUUGAGCCAGAGGAACCUAUAUUUCCAGAGCAAGAGGCCAAAUCUCAGGUUGAUGAGAGAGGUAGCAAUGAGAACAUGGAUCAAGGUGGUAGUGAUAUGACAUCAGUAGAUCAAUGUGCCAAUCGAGAAGUGGUUUCAGACAAAGACGCUCCCAGGGCGUUGAAAAUGUGGGAUGCUCUCCUCUUCCAGAUGUUCUCCACCAAAGAGCGGAUAAUGCAGCAGAUCAACAAGAAAGAGUCAAAUGAGAAAAAGGCAUCGAAAGAAAAUCAGGCAGAAGUUCCCACUUUUGUUAAUCGCCUGCCUAUUUUACUUUACAGUCCCCGUUUUGAUGCCAGGAAGCUUAAAGAGGCAGCAGAGAAGCCACUGAAUAAGAUAGCAGCUGUGUUUGAAAAGGGGCUGAUAAAACGCAAAUCCCAGGAGGAAGAAAAAAAGGACUUCAACAGAACUGCCAGAGGAUUUGGUUCAGGAAACAAAACCAACAUGUAAUUUGAAUUGAUGUAAAAGCCCAAUUUGGAGUCCUGGAUCAUUUUUAUGGUGGAUAAUUAAUGGAUUACCAUCAUGGUGUGGAAUUUCUUUAAGUGAGGGGAAGUCCACCCCUAUAUGCUAUGGCCCCAUUUAUUACAUUGAUGGUAAAACUAUAAUGUGUUUUAUUUACUGUGUGAUUAAAACAAUGCA